rnacentral:rRNA from 1 species
CCUACGGGUGGCUGCAGUAGGGAAUAUUGGACAAUGGGCGCAAGCCUGAUCCAGCCAUGCCGCGUGAGUGAAGAAGGCCCUCGGGUUGUAAAGCUCUUUUGUUGGGGAAGAAAAGCAUUCGGCUAAUACCCGGGUGUCCUGACGGUACCCAAAGAAUAAGCACCGGCUAACUUCGUGCCAGCAGCCGCGGUAAUACGAAGGGUGCAAGCGUUACUCGGAAUUACUGGGCGUAAAGCGUGCGUAGGUGGUUGAAAGCCCUGGGCUCAACCUGGGAAUGGCAUUGGAUACUGGCGGGCUAGAGUGCGGUAGAGGGUAGUGGAAUUCCCGGUGUAGCAGUGAAAUGCGUAGAGAUCGGGAGGAACAUCCGUGGCGAAGGCGACUACCUGGACCAGCACUGACACUGAGGCACGAAAGCGUGGGGAGCAAACAGGAUUAGAUACCCGUGUAGUC